CCUACGGGUGGCAGCAGUGGGGGAUAUUGGACAAUGGGGGAAACCCUGAUCCAGCGACGCCGCGUGAGUGAAGAAGUAUCUCGGUAUGUAAAGCUCUAUCAGCAGGGAAGAAGAAAUGACGAUACCUGAGAAAGAAGCCCCGGCUAACUCCGUGCCAGCCGCCGCGGUAAUACGUAGGGGGCGAGCGUUAUCCGGAUUUACUGGGUGUACAGGGAGCGUAGACGGUGAUGUAAGUCUGGAGUGAAAGUCGGGGGCCCAACCCCCGGACUGCUCUGGAAACUAUGUGACUGGAGUGCAGGAGAGGCGAGCGGAAUUCCUGGUGUAGCGGUGAAAUGCGUAGAUAUUAGGAGGAACACCAGCGGCGAAGGCGGCCCACUGGACUGUAACUGACGUUGAGGCUCGAAAGCGUGGGGAGCAAACAGGAUUAGAUACCCGGGUAGUC
rnacentral:rRNA from 1 species